rnacentral:rRNA from 1 species
AACGAACGCUGGCGGCAGGCUUAACACAUGCAAGUCGAACGCAUCCUGCGGGGUGAGUGGCAGACGGGUGAGUAACGCGUGGGAACGUGCCCUGCAGUUCGGGAUAACCUAGGGAAACAGGGGCUAAAACCGGGUACGUGCGAGAGCAGAAAGAUGUAUCGCUGAAGGAUCGGCCAGCGUCUGAUUAGCUAGUUGGGGGGGUAAUGGCCCACCAAGGCGACGAUCAGUAGCUGGUCUGAGAGGACGCUCAGCCACAUUGGAACUGAGCACACGGCCCAAACUCCUACGGGAGGCAGCAGUGGGGAAUAUUGAACAAUGGGCGCAAGCCUGAUCCAGCCAUGCCGCGUGAGUGAUGAAGGCCUUAGGGUUGUAAAGCUCGUUCGUCCGGGACGAUAAUGACGGUACCGGAAGAAGAAGCCCCGGCUAACUUCGUGCCAGCAGCCGCAGUAA